AGCAGCCGCGGUAAUUCCAGCUCCAAUAGCGUAUAUUAAAGUUGUUGCAGUUAAAAAGCUCGUAGUUGAAUUUCGGGAUUGACGUGAUGGUCAUGCCUUAAGGGGUAUGAACUGUUACUGUUGAUUUCUCACCUUCUGGAGAAACUUGAUGUCCUUUAUUGGGUGUCUUGCGGAUCCAGGACCUUUACCUUGAAAAAAUUAGAGUGUUUAAAGCAGGCAUUUUUGCUCGAAUACAUUAGCAUGGAAUAAUAGAAUAGGACGGCAUGGUUCUAUUUUGUUGGUUUCUAGGAUCACCGUAAUGAUUAAUAGGGGUAGUUGGGGGCAUUAGUAUUCAAUUGUCAGAGGUGAAAUUCUUGGAUUUAUUGAAGACUAACUACUGCGAAAGCAUUUGCCAAGGAUGUUUUCAUUAAUCAAGAACGAAAGUUAGGGGAUCGAAGACGAUCAGAUACCGUCGUAGUCUUAACCAUAAACUAUGCCGACUAGGAAUCAGACGAUGUUAAUUUUUUUAAUGACUCGUUUG
rnacentral:misc_RNA from 2 species